AGUGAACGCUGGCGGUAGGCCUAACACAUGCAAGUCGAACGGCAGCACAGGAGAGCUUGCUCUCUGGGUGGCGAGUGGCGGACGGGUGAGGAAUACAUCGGAAUCUACUCUGUCGUGGGGGAUAACGUAGGGAAACUUACGCUAAUACCGCAUACGACCUACGGGUGAAAGCAGGGGAUCUUCGGACCUUGCGCGAUUGAAUGAGCCGAUGUCGGAUUAGCUAGUUGGCGGGGUAAAGGCCCACCAAGGCGACGAUCCGUAGCUGGUCUGAGAGGAUGAUCAGCCACACUGGAACUGAGACACGGUCCAGACUCCUACGGGAGGCAGCAGUGGGGAAUAUUGGACAAUGGGCGCAAGCCUGAUCCAGCCAUACCGCGUGGGUGAAGAAGGCCUUCGGGUUGUAAAGCACUUUAGUUGGGGAAGAAAAGUAAUAAGUAAAUAAUUUAUUGCUCUGACGGUACCCAAAGAAUAAGCACCGGCUAACUCUGUGCCAGCCGCCGCCGUAA
rnacentral:rRNA from 1 species